UGGUUGAUCCUGCCAGUAGUCAUAUGCUUGUCUCAAAGAUUAAGCCAUGCAUGUCUAAGUAUAAGCAAUCUAUACGGUGAAACUGCGAAUGGCUCAUUAAAUCAGUUAUCGUUUAUUUGAUAGUACCUUACUACUUGGAUAACCGUGGUAAUUCUAGAGCUAAUACAUGCUAAAAACCCCGACUUCGGAAGGGGUGUAUUUAUUAGAUAAAAAACCAAUGCCCUUCGGGGCUCCUUGGUGAUUCAUAAUAACUAAACGAAUCGCAUGGCCUUGUGCCGGCGAUGGUUCAUUCAAAUUUCUGCCCUAUCAACUUUCGAUGGUAGGAUAGUGGCCUACCAUGGUUUCAACGGGUAACGGGGAAUUAGGGUUCUAUUCCGGAGAGGGAGCCUGAGAAACGGCUACCACAUCCAAGGAAGGCAGCAGGCGCGCAAAUUACCCAAUCCCGACACGGGGAGGUAGUGACAAUAAAUACUGAUACAGGGCUCUUUUGGGUCUUGUAAUUGGAAUGAGUACAAUUUAAAUCCCUUAACGAGGAACAAUUGGAGGGCAAGUCUGGU
rnacentral:rRNA from 1 species